rnacentral:rRNA from 1 species
AGAGCGCAGGGCGAAUGCCUUGGCACUGGGAGCCGACGAAGGACGCGAUAAGCUGCGAUAAGCUGCGGGGAGGAGCAAAUAUCCAUUGAUCCGCAGAUUUCCGAAUGGAGAAAUCCGUAUGGAGAAGUCCAUACAUCAUAUACUGAAUACAUAGGUAUAUGAGGGAAACCGCCUGAACUGAAACAUCUAAGUAGGGCGAGGAAAAGAAAUCAACCGAGAUACCGCAAGUAGUGGCGAGCGAACGCGGCAGAGGCCAAACCCGUAGUAGAAAUACUAUGGGGGUUGCGGACUGCAUUUAGCAUUGUUGAUCUUUAACCGAAGGGCAUGGGAAGGCCCACCGAAGAACGUGAGAGUCGUGUAGGUGAAAAGGAGAGACAGCGAGCAGGAUCCAGAGUACCGCGGGACACGAGGAAUCCCGUGGGAAGCCGGGGGGACCACCCUCCAAGCCUAAAUACUACCCAGUGACCGAUAGCGUAUAGUACUGUGAAGGAAAGGUGAAAAGGACCCCGGGAGGGGAGUGAAAUAGAACCUGAAACCCUGUGCUUACAAGCACCGAGAGCCCGUCGAUGGGUGAUCGGGUACUUUUUGUAGAACGGUCCGGCGAGUAUAUGGAACAAGCAAGGUUAAGGUCUUCAGGACUGAAGCCGAAGGGAAACCAAGUCUUAAUAGGGCGCACAGUUUGUUUCAUAUGACCCGAAACCGGGUGACCUAUCCAUGUCCAGGUUGAAGUGGCGGUAAAACGCCAUGGAGGACCGAACCAACCCCCGUUGAAAAGGUGGUGGAUGAGGUGUGGAUAGCGGAGAAAUUCCAAUCGAACUCGGAUAUAGCUGGUUCUCCCCGAAAUAGCUUUAGGGCUAGCGUUGUGUUAGAUUACCGGAGGUAAAGCACUGAAUAGGCUAGGGGGCGAGAGUCUACCGACCCUUAUCAAACUCUGAAUGCCGGAUAAUUGAUGCACAGCAGUCAGACAGUGUGAGAUAAGUUUCAUUGUCAAAAGGGAAACAGCCCAGACCCACAGCUAAGGUCCCAAAGUACGGUUAAGUGGAAAAGGAUGUGGGGUUGCACAGACAACCAGGAUGUUGGCUUAGAAGCAGCCACUCAUUAAAAGAGUGCGUAAUAGCUCACUGGUCGAGUGAUUCUGCGCCGAAAAUUUAACGGGGCUAAAUUGUACACCGAAGCUUGGGAUACAUCUAAUGUAUGGUAGGAGAGCGUUGUAUACGGGGUGAAGUCAGAGCGGAAGCGCUGGUGGACUGUAUACAAGUGAGAAUGCCGGAAUGAGUAGCGAGAAUUAUGUGAGAAUCAUAAUGGCCGAAAAUCUAAGGUUUCCUGAGGAAGGUUCGUCCGCUCAGGGUAAGCCGGGGGCUAAGGCGAGGCGGAGACGCGUAGCCGAUGCACAUACGGUUGAAAUUCCGUAGCCACCGAAAGAUUUAAGUACAGGGACGCUUUAGAAGUGAUGUUGCCGGGCGAUGGUUGACCCGGUCGUAAGGGAUCGAAAAUGAGUAGAGAAGUCAUCAUGGAAAGAGACAAGAAAAGCUGUAUGAAUAUCUUAGGUGCCCGUACCGCAAACCGACACAGGUAGAUAGGAAGAAGAUUCUAAGGCCAACGGGAGAAGGGUUGUUAAGGAACUCGGCAAGUUGACCCCGUAACUUCGGGAGAAGGGGUGCUCUGGAAACAGAGCCGCAGAGAAUAGGUCCAGGCAACUGUUUAGCAAAAACACAGCUCUCUGCUAAAUCGAAAGAUGAUGUAUAGGGGGUGACGCCUGCCCGGUGCUGGAAGGUUAAGAGGAGGAGUGAGAGCCCCGAAUCGAAGCCCCAGUAAACGGCGGCCGUAACUAUAACGGUCCUAAGGUAGCGAAAUUCCUUGUCAGGUAAGUUCUGACCCGCACGAAAGGCGUAAUGAUUUGGGCACUGUCUCAACAGCCCGCCCGGCGAAAUUGUAGUACCGGUGAAGAUGCCGGUUACCCGCGACAAGACGGAAAGACCCCAUGGAGCUUUACUGCAGCCUAAUAUUGGAUUUCGGUAUUUCAUGUACAGGAUAGGUGGGAGACUGGGAAACACAGGCGUCAGCUUGUGCGGAGUCGCCCUUGGGAUACCACCCUUGAAGUGCUGGAAUUCUAACCUGUGGCCAUGAAUCUGGUCAGGGGACAUUGUUAGGCGGGCAGUUUGACUGGGGCGGUCGCCUCCAAAAGAGUAACGGAGGCGCUCA